rnacentral:lncRNA from 13 species
CUUUCUGUUAAUUUAUGCCUCUGAUUGCCCCUUAAAGUUUAGCUUUAAAUUAUACCUUUCUGUACAUGUACCCCAGAGAAGUAACUUACAUCUUAGCUUGGACUGGACUUGGAUAUCUGUGGGAUAAACCAUGAUCCUCUAAUCCCUCUUAGGUGCCUAAGAGUUAGCCACUAAGUUUGAUCUUGAUCCUUCACCAGGUGCUGGCUUUAUAAUAUGGCUCUGCUGCACAGUAAUUCUCACUUGAUGAUAUGUUAGUUUACAAAUGUUGUGACUUCAUUUCAAUCUCUCUCUCAAACUGGAUGAAAAUUCCCCAAAGGCAGUGACUCUGCAUUCCAUUUGCACCCCCUCUGAUCGAAUAUGCAUAACUCUGUGUGUAGAAAGGCUCAGGAAAUGUGCAUGGCUGCCUGAAGUGGAACUCUCAGAUGGCCCUGGGAAAACUGACCUUUAUAUAAGAAAAAUAAAUUGGAAAUAACCUCAAUACUCAACCCUAUAAAUACAAUAUGUGCUAUCUUUAUGAUGUAAUAUUAUUUAUGCCUUAAAACAUUUUUGAAGGACUUUAAUGAUGUGAGAAAAUUUCAUUAUAAAACUUGCUUUACAUCUAUAAUUUUUAGAUAAAUAUAAUAUGAAUUUCAAUUUUACAAUAGAAAAUAGAAGGAUGACAGGAAAAGGAAGACAGAAAGAAGAGAAGGGAGGAAGAAGAAAUGAAGGAAGAAACAUAUAGACUAACGAAAGAGAAAUGCAGGAACAUGUCACACUGGAAUCAGAAAUGGGAGCCGAUUCAGCUGAUUCCAGCAACCGUGAACUUAACCACUCUUCUCUGCUGCCUCAUACUGAGAAUUUUCCAGAUGGCCAUGUUUCAAGUAUGGAUGGCCCUUCCUGUUGGAAACAGAGACAUCCACAGACCAGCAAGGAAGAGACAGCGGAUUGCCAGGAUGAGCAGGGUUUCAAGGGCAGCCCAUCUUACUGGGACUCAGGGAAGGAACCUAGCGCUAAAGAAAGGCUCAGCACUAAUCAGGGACUGAAGAAGAAGCCUGAAUUUGUGGCUUGAGAAAUGGUGUGGGUUACUGGCAGGCUGUGCUCAGGGAGCAGGUGCUGCCAAGUCCUCACUCAGCUAUCCUGGAUGCCAGUCCUGGGGCAGCAAAAUGAAUUUCAGAGCCCCAUUGCAGGAGGCAAGUGAAGUCUCACUUGGUAAGAACAUAGGUAUGUGUAAGGUAACUAACAUCAGGGUCAUUUGAAAGAGAGAUGGAGUCAGAUUGAUAAGAAGCAAAACAUCAUAAUAGCUAAAAAUAAUAACUGCUGUAUCCAGCACUUAUCUUUCCCAGGCACUGUGCUAUGCACUUUGCAUCUAUUAUCUUUUCAGCAACACUGUGAUGUAGACGCAAUGAUUACCUAGAUUUUAACAAUCAGGAUUACAGUAGUUAAUUCAACAAAUGUCACACAGAUAAGUAAUAGAAUCAGGGCUCAAACUAGCUCUGUUUGACACCAGAGCCUUUUCAUCUCAACCAGUUUCCUAGAAUGCCUGAAUGAAGACUCUUUUUGAGGAAGCCAUGAACAGCUGUUGCAGACGUUAAGGCAGGACAGUAUGGUUAAAUUAUUCUAAUGCCAGUAUAUACAUUAAAAUAAGCCUAAGAGGAAACCAUUAGGAGGAUAUUUUAAUGGUCUAGAAGAAGGUGACACAAAAUGAUAUUAAGGGGGUGGACUGUGAGUAGAUAAGAUGAGAUCUGACUUAAGUGAGGCUGUGAAGAAAGAUUCUUUGAGGCCAGAGCACCAAUUAAAAUAGAGCAUACGGGAAAGGACAGACUCAGGAAAAAUGCUGAAACUGAUUCUGAUUAAGUAAUGAAGUGGCCAUUAAUAGAAAUAGGGACACCAGCAGGAGCAAGAGAGAAAGAGUCAGGUCCAUUUAGCUGACAAUAUGGAAAACAUAUCCCGAAGGCUGAUUGAAUUGUGGUUCUUGGGCUCAGAAACAUGACUAGAUCUGGAGAUGCAGAUUUAGCAACCAUCCCUUAGUCCCACUGGAACCUU